UAGGAUGACUUAAAGUUUAAACUAUCAACUCUUAACAGUACAUCCAUUAUAUGUUUCAACUUAAUAAAUUCUGUAACUCCUCACAAGGAUUGCUCUGCCUAAGAUCUUACUAAAUUAAAACACAAAGUAUUCUCUCCAAUCUCUUGGAGUGGUCAAUUCCAUCUUGACUCGUGCACCGACUUCACAAGUACUUGACUGUGCCCAAAAAUUUUUCGAUCCUAAAUUAAAAAUUUAGAUAGUCUGGCAUCAAAGUAUAGUGAGUUGCUUGCAAGUCAUCUUGAUAAUCUUAGGUCAGAGGGACACACCCAUAUCCCUUCGAAAUAACUCUUGACGGUAAAGUACUUCAGAGUUGGUCACGUUCAGUGAAAUGUACUCCUACAUUUCACCUGUAUGCCAUACCAACAUCUUCAUGCUCCUUGGUUAAGAAAACAACCAACUUAUAUGGCACACAACAACCUACACUUGAUAUGUCUAUC
rnacentral:lncRNA from 1 species